ACUGCGAAUGGCUCAUUAAAUCAGUUAUCGUUUAUUUGAUAGUACCUUACUACAUGGAUACCUGUGGUAAUUCUAGAGCUAAUACAUGCUAAAAACCCCGACUUCGGGAGGGGUGUAUUUAUUAGAUAAAAAACCAAUGCCCCUCGGGGCUCCUUGGUGAAUCAUAAUAACUUAACGAAUCGCAUGGCCUUGCGCCGGCGAUGGUUCAUUCAAAUUUCUGCCCUAUCAACUUUCGAUGGUAGGAUAGUGGCCUACCAUGGUGGCAACGGGUAACGGGGAAUUAGGGUUCGAUUCCGGAGAGGGAGCCUGAGAAACGGCUACCACAUCCAAGGAAGGCAGCAGGCGCGCAAAUUACCCAAUCCCGACACGGGGAGGUAGUGACAAUAAAUACUGAUACGGGGCUCUUUUGGGUCUCGUAAUUGGAAUGAGUACAAUCUAAAUCCCUUAACGAGGAACAAUUGGAGGGCAAGUCUGGUGCCAGCAGCCGCGGUAAUUCCAGCUCCAAUAGCGUAUAUUAAAGUUGUUGCAGUUAAAAAGCUCGUAGUUGAACCUUGGGUCUGGCUGGCCGGUCCGCCUCACCGCGAGUACUGGUCCGGCUGGACCUUUCCUUCUGGGGAAUCCCAUGGCCUUCACUGGGCUGUGGGUGGAACCAGGACUUUUACUGUGAAAAAAUUAGAGUGUUCAAAGCAGGCCUUUGCUCGAAUACAUUA
rnacentral:rRNA from 1 species